UACAUGUGGGGCAAGCGUUGUUCGGAAUUACUGGGCAUAAAGGGUGCGUAGGCGGCUUGUUAAGUCAGGGGUGAAAGUUUUCGGCCCAACCGGAAAAUGGCCUUUGAUACUGGCGAGCUCGAGUGCGUGAGGGGUGACUGGAACGAGCAGUGUAGCGGUGAAAUGCGUAGAUAUUGCUCGGAAGGCCAACGGCGAAGGCAGGUCACUGGUACGCAACUGACGCUGAGGCACGAAAGCGUGGGGAGCAAACAGG
rnacentral:rRNA from 2 species